rnacentral:rRNA from 1 species
GACGAACGCUGGCGGCGUGCUUAACACAUGCAAGUCGAACGGAAAGGCCCUGCUUUUGUGGGGUGCUCGAGUGGCGAACGGGUGAGUAACACGUGAGUAACCUGCCCUUGACUUUGGGAUAACUUCAGGAAACUGGGGCUAAUACCGGAUAGGAGCUCCUGCUGCAUGGUGGGGGUUGGAAAGUUUCGGCGGUUGGGGAUGGACUCGCGGCUUAUCAGCUUGUUGGUGGGGUAGUGGCUUACCAAGGCUUUGACGGGUAGCCGGCCUGAGAGGGUGACCGGCCACAUUGGGACUGAGAUAAGGCACAGACUCCUACGGGAGGCAGCAGUGGGGAAUAUUGCACAAUGGGCGGAAGCCUGAUGCAGCAACGCCGCGUGCGGGAUGACGGCCUUCGGGUUGUAAACCGCUUUCGCCUGUGACGAAGCGUGAGUGACGGUAAUGGGUAAAGAAGCACCGGCUAACUACGUG